UGUGUACUCCCUUCGUUCCAAAAUACUUGACUUCCAUUUGUCCAAAAAUGGAUGUACCUAUAUACUAAGACAUGUCUAGAUACAUAUAUAUUUUGACAAAUAGAAGGCAUGUAUAGUGCAACGGAGGGAGUAGAAU
rfam:Triticum aestivum genome assembly, contig: Triticum_aestivum_CS42_TGACv1_scaffold_194508_3AL